AGCGAACGCUGGCGGCAGGCCUAACACAUGCAAGUCGAACGAUCCUUCGGGAUAGUGGCGGACGGGUGAGUAACACGUGGGAACGUGCCCUUUGGUUCGGAACAACUCAGGGAAACUUGAGCUAAUACCGAAUGUGCCCUUCGGGGGAAAGAUUUAUCGCCAUUGGAGCGGCCCGCGUCUGAUUAGCUAGUUGGUGAGGUAAUGGCUCACCAAGGCGACGAUCAGUAGCUGGUCUGAGAGGAUGAUCAGCCACAUUGGGACUGAGACACGGCCCAAACUCCUACGGGAGGCAGCAGUGGGGAAUCUUGCGCAAUGGGCGAAAGCCUGACGCAGCCAUGCCGCGUGAAUGAUGAAGGUCUUAGGAUUGUAAAAUUCUUUCACCGGGGACGAUAAUGACGGUACCCGGAGAAGAAGCUCCGGCUAACUUCGUGCCAGCAGCCGCCGUAACAC
rnacentral:rRNA from 1 species